CAGCCUGGGAGGGGACCAAAUUGGAGGAGCUGGGUGUGGGGAAGCCGAAUCUGGAGCAAGUGGUCUGAUCAGGAUUGUGUUGCAGUGAAGGGACAGCCCUAGGUCUGAGGGAGAGGAUCCCUGACUGUGAGACCCGACUUCCCUGGGCCCAGCCCCUCCCAAUUCCCCAAGCGUCCUCCACUUCCUGGUCCCCGAUGCAAGUAUGGCUGAAGAACAACCACAGGUCGAAUUGUUCAUGAAGGCUGGCAGUGAUGGGGCCAAGAUUGGGAACUGCCCCUUCUCCCAGAGACUGUUCAUGGUGCUCUGGCUCAAGGGAGUCACCUUCAACGUCACCACUGUUGACACCAAGAGGCAGACCGAGACAGUACAGAAGCUGUGCCCAGGAGGGCAGCUCCCAUUCCUGCUGUAUGGCACUGAAGUGCACACAGACACCAACAAGAUUGAGGAAUUUCUGGAGGCAGUGCUGUGCCCUCCCAGGUACCCCAAGCUGGCAGCUCUGAACCCUGAGUCCAACACAGCUGGACUAGACAUAUUUGCCAAAUUUUCUGCCUAUAUCAAGAAUUCAAACCCAGCACUCAAUGAUAAUCUGGAGAAGGGGCUCCUAAAAGCCCUGAAGAUUUUAGACAGUUACUUGACAUUCCCCCUCCUAGAAGAAGUAGAUGAAACCAGUGCUGAUGAUGAGGAAAUUUCUGGAUGGCAAUGAGCUCACCCUGGCUGACUACAACCUUUUGCCAAAGCUGCACAUAGUACAAGUGGUGUGUAAGAAGUACCGGGGAUUCACCAUGCCUGAGGCCUUCCAGGGAGUGCAUCGGUACUUGAGAAAUGCCUAAGCCCGGAAGAAUUUGCCUCCACCUGUCCAGAUGAUGAGGAGAUGGAGCUGGCCUAUGAGCAAGUAGCCAAGGCCCUCAAAUAA